UCCCAGACUCCUACGGGAGGCAGCAGUGGGGAAUAUUGGGCAAUGGGCGCAAGCCUGACCCAGCAAUGCCGCGUGAAGGAAGAAGGCCUUCGGGUUGUAAACUUCUUUUAUCAGGGACGAAGGAUGUGACGGUACCUGAUGAAUAAGCUCCGGCUAACUACGUGCCAGCAGCCGCGGUAAUACGUAGGGAGCAAGCGUUGUCCGGAAUUACUGGGUGUAAAGGGAGCGUAGGCGGGGAUGCAAGUUGGGUGUCAAAACUAUCGGCUCAACCGAUAGUCGCACUCAAAACUGCAGCUCUUGAGUGAAGUAGAGGCAGGCGGAAUUCCUAGUGUAGCGGUGAAAUGCGUAGAUAUUAGGAGGAACACCAGUGGCGAAGGCGGCCUGCUGGGCUUUUACUGACGCUGAGGCUCGAAAGUGUGGGGAGCAAACAGGAUUAGAUACCCGCGUA
rnacentral:rRNA from 1 species